rnacentral:misc_RNA from 1 species
ACUGGGCAAGUUGAGGCAAACAAUGGACCGGAUGCUGCUAGGUAUGCUGAGGUCCUCCCAUUGACCUUUGCUUUUCAUGACUUUAACCUUUGUAAGCUGUGCUAUGUUCCGUGAAGAGGGAUGAAAAAGAGAGGCACAAAACCAUCCUUGAGUACAUCCAAGCUUUAAGUAAGUCCUCUGAUUUACUAUUUGGUUUUUAAAUUUCUCUGGGUGUAACUUCCUCUCAGAGUGAAAUGCGAGUGAAAGGCAUAUGAUACUUGAGCAUCCAUUCCCAUACUGAAAUAGUUCCAAAAGCCCCCACGAAAAGUGUGGUAACCCUCCAUAUUUAAUGAAUCUGAUUCAGAGACGCGAUGGAACGCAUGCAAAGAAUGGGGUAGCUCAAGAGGCGCAACAGGGUCACAAGAGCCUUCUUUUGGGCAUUUCAUUCUCAUGAU